rnacentral:lncRNA from 1 species
CAGUUCUCUUCAUGUUGGCGCCCCACAAAAUGGCGGCUGAAGAAGCAAAGUUUAAGACAAUCAUCAUGCUAAUCCUACCUUCGUUUAAAGGUAAUACAUUUUAUUUAGCAUCAGUACUUUUAGUAGAGUACUUAGAUUGCUAAUAUAGAUAACAUUUUUGGACAUCGAGCUAGAAUUUAGAGCGAUAUUUCGGUAUAAAAUUUGUACUUUCCAUGGACCAUGUGCUUAAUGACCUUAAUCGCUAGUUCGGUAUUGUCGAAAUAAAAACGUGAUUUCGAUGAAGUCGUUGUUCAAUAGUUGUGGACCAACCUAAUAAAAAGACUUAGCAGAGUCUAAAAUUGUUUAAACCGCCGAACAAAGACUUAUUUUUGAGUUUUAUUGUGGUAUACCAAGGGGGUAUUAAAAGUUUUAUAGGACUUGAGGGCAUUUCUCACUCCAAAAACUAAGUACGCUAAGCAAAAAAAAUCCGGGAAUGAUCUGGCAAUUAGGAAAAUCCGUCAAAAUCUAAAUUUAAAAGUCUGUUCAAAUCCUUAAAUAAAAUCCACGAGAAAUCCGGAAAAAUCUCACAAAAUCUCUUUUUUUAUAACUCCAAGAAAAAAUCUGCGGAUUUUUGAACGUCUGAGAUGAAUUUCUGAGAUGUGUUCAAAAAAGUUAUUUCUGAGGGGUAAAAUGGGCAUCAGCAUCCUUUGAUCUUAAUAGGGUUUUCUCUGAGAUCUGGCAAAAAUGUACAAAUCGGGUGUAAGGCCAGCACUUUGAACUUUUUUUCUUGGGGGUUCAAAUUUUACUGAGCUCGUCCAUAUAGGGGUGGAUUUUUUUGGAAUGGCCAUUUCAGAGAAAUUGAAUGAAAAAAAUUAAAAAUGGGUCAUUCCAGAAAAGAUCCAUACCCCCCCUACGGAGGAAAUCGAAAAUAACCCCCUUCCCCCCUUCGGACAUCCUUGAAUGGUUCAUCCUCCCCCCUCUCCGGACGUCAAAGCCCAAAAUUACUCCCCUCCCCUUCGGACAUCCACUAUUUCUAAAUUUAUCUAAAGGCUACCUUGCCGUUUGAAAACGUCACCGAAAAUUAGACUACGUUCACACUACGCGCGAGCGAACUAAUGCGGGCAGAAUUUACGUGUGUUCAGACUAAGCCAUUACAGUUUGUUUACAAAUUAAAUUAGCACUCAUGUAAACCCAAAAUAUUUGAAAUUGAGCCAAGAAAUUUAGCUGAAAAGCAUUCGAGUUUACAUGUUUGUGUUCACACAAAGCUAUCAAGCGCUCCGUUUUCACCUCGUUCCAUUUAGAAACCGUGCUCAAAUUGUUACGGCAAAAGUGACGUGAAAGUUUUCAAAUGAUUUCGCUCCAAAAAAUAUAACAUGCAGGAAAAAUAUAACAUACGUACAUUCUUAACAUGCAGGAUACGCUGUUACAGCGAGUUAGUUUUUGGUGGCCAUGCAUGCAAUAGUGGGCCGCUUAUUUUGCUUACGAGUUACGUGGACAUAUAAUUAUUGCUGUUACAUAAACGUUCCGGUGUUUAAGAGCUACAUAUAGCCGAUAAAAAUUGUAUGCUCAUUAUAUAAUCGCCGAUCACAUAGCUUUAUCACAGUCUCAAACCUUCAGACAAACAUAUCCACAUUCCUCCCUCCCCCUUCGGACAGAAAAAAUUUCCUCUGUGGGAGGGGUAUGGAUCUUUUCUGGAACGACCCAAUCACAAAAGAUAGAGAAGUAACACAUUUCUAAAACAAAAAAAUCACCAAAAAUAGUGAUUUUAUGAUUUUUUUACACUCAUUAGGGCUAUUUACACGACAGUCAAUUGUGGUGCCUGUGACUGGCUCUUGAUCAUUGCAGGUUAUUGGAUUGGGCGAAGAGGUUUAACUUCGAAAAUCCACCCUAAUUCAUUAUCAACAUUUUCCUAAAUUGAAAAACUGAAAUCUAAAAUCUCCUUUAAAAUCUACUGAAAAUUUUGCAAAAAGUUCCAAAGUGCAGGGAUUUGGGAAUCCAAAAAUCCAAGCAGUUAUAAAGUCUGUGAUUUAUAUCCUCAAUAAAAAAAUUCUCUUAAAUUCUUUGUAGUUCUACAUUGCAAUUUCCAAGAAUGUUUCAAGUUGUUGCCUGAAGAUUGAUUUCUGAAAAAUGCAAAUGAAAGGUAUAUAUCAUCUUUACUCUCUAAUUUGUAGCCUUAUUUUUUUAAUCGAUUAUAACGGUUGGAAAUCGGCUAUUUGCAAAUCACUCAAUGGCCGACUAAUUUUAUUAGAUCAAAUACACAGUUUCCAUUAGGUACAUUUAAGAUUUGUACCUACUGUUGAAAAAGGGUAAAUAAAGCAACUGUGAAAGAACACAAAACAUUUUCUUGGCUUCCUUGCAACAAGCAAUAAAAUCCUGAAUAGGUUUGUGUUACCAGAAAAUUUAGGAACAUUAUUUUUUGGGAACAAGAAAGUUUUGGUUGCAUAAAUUGUUGGGUCUGCUUACCAAAACUUGUGUAACAUGAUCAUGCUGGCCAGGAAGUUGCACAAGCUGUCAAUUAAAUAUUGAAAAGCUUGUUGACCAUUUUUGGCCAAUGUUUGAGCAACUGCGCAGUUGAUUUUGACAUUUGUCAGGCCCAAAUUAAAUUGUUAUAAUCCACACUUUAGUGGAGUACACUCCACUUGAUGAAUAAAAUUAUCUGGCAUUAGACAACAAGGUUAAUUAAUCCCCAUGGCAUUAUUAAUUCCCAAGCCUCUGGCGUAAAAAAAAUACCUGUGGUUCCGGUUUCAUAUUGUGAAAAAAUUAGGGUCGGUAGGUCGGAAAUAAUUUUUUUUUUUAAAUUUUUUUUCAUGGUUUUGGCGUUUGUCUGGAGUUACUGUAAGGCGCUUUUCGGGUCCUCGCACGAAGCUCCUCGCUGCGAGUGCUUGCAUCUAAUUAAAAUUAACUGUUUUGCAUUGUGAUUGGAUGAAGGUGCUCAUGCAUCACUCGCAGCUCGCUGCGAGGAGCUUCAUGCGAGGACUGGAAAACCCCUUAAGGCAGCAUAAUAAUUAACAUUAAUCCAGGGUUCGAAAUAACGGUGAUUCACAAAUCACGAAUCAAUUUUCAUUUUUCACGAACCCAAGUUCAUAGAAAUUGAUCAAAAUCACAAAUCAAAAGUUUCUCAAAUUGAUAAAAAUAUACAAUAAUAAAUUCAGUUCUUUGUAAAUGUGAUGAAGGAUCAUAUAUUCUGAAGAUAUUGUUGUUAGAUUGUACUUAAAAACGAUUAUAAUUCCACCCAAAAUUCUAUUUUUUUUGCGAGUUUGCGAUGUAUAUUAUAUAUUUGAAAAUUGCAGUGCUUCCACUUUUUUACUUCCAAUUAGCGAAAAUUUCUUGAAAAUUCCUUAAAAUUUCCUUAAAAUAAAAAAAUAAUUCACGAACCAUUUUUUCAGAAUUAAUUCGAACCCUGUAAUCUGUUUCAUCCAGUUCUUUAUAUGGUAGUCAUCUUAAAUAAUUAUUAUUUCAAACUUCUAGAUGUAUGGUGCAAGUUCCAAGAAUGUCAAUUUUUGGUUGAAGUGUUGCAGAUCGCACAAACGUGAACACUGUUGACAGAAAGUGUAAGAAAGGUCUUAUUUUUAUGUCUUAUUUUAAUUAUAAAAUGCUUUAAACAUUAUACAAUUUUCUGUGACCAGAGGCUGUGUUUUUUUUACCGUCAUAUUCAUUAAAAAAA